AUUCCUGGAAUCUAUACAUGAGAGAUAAGGAGAAAUUAAUCACAGGCAACCACUUCACAUCCCUUAAAACAUCUUUCUGACUGGGAAACAGAAGAAGCAGUUAUGUAGUGGGUAGGAAUCUGCUGAUGUCAGACUGUAGAGGCUUUAACUCACUCUGCCAUUUACUGUGUGACUUCAAGCAAGUUGUCUACCCACUCUCUACAUCAGUUCUCUCCUGCAAAGGGCUGGGGUGAAGAUAAAAUGAGAUAAUCCAUGUGAAGAGCUCCAAAUAGGAUCUCACAUAUUGUAAGUUCUCUAUGAACAUUAACUAGUAUAUAAGUUCUCUGGGGAUGCUGCAUCUCAGUAUCACAAGCUGAGAGGCUUAAACAAUAGAAAUGUGUUGUCUCAGCACUCUAGAGGCUGGAAGUCUAACAAGGAGGUGUAGCAGGGUUGGUUCCUUCUGUGGGCUGUGAGUCAGAAUCUAAUCCAGGUCUCUCUCCUAGCUCCUGGUGGUUGGCUAGGAACUUCUGUGUUCCCUGGCAUCUGUUGAUCACCCUGGACUCUGCCUUUAUCUUCAUAUGGUGUUCUCUGUGUGUGCCUGUGUUCAAAUUUCCCGUUUGAAUGAGGAUACCAGUUGUAUUGGAUGCUACUCCAGCACGACCUCAUCUUAAGCAAUUACAUCCAUCAUGACCGUAUUUCCAACACAUUUUAAGGUAGAGAAGUCUCCCAACCACUGGCUCACUCCUCAAAUGCCUGUAACAGCUGGGACUGGGCUGUGCUGAAGCCAGAAUUCAGUCGGGUCUCCCGUGUGAGUGGCAGGGACACAGGCCACAACAGCGGGAGCUGCGCCUGACCGAAGCCAGGAGCCAGGAGCUUCUUCCGAGUCUCCCACGUGGGUACAGAGGUCCAAGGACUUGGGCCAUCCUCUACUGCUUUUCCAGGCCAUAGCAGAGAGCUGGAUUGGAAGAGGAGCAGCCAGGUCUUGAACCAGUGUCCAUAGGGGAUGCCAGCACUGCAGGUGGCGGCUUUAUCUGGUCUGUCUUCUUGCUAUGCUGGGAGCCCUCACUCUGCCCGUCUGUGCUGGGUUUUGGGUGUUGUGACUUGCAGACUUCCCUGAACUCAACUCCUGCCUGCCUGGAUCUCGAGAGAAUGGCAGCUCCCAGGAACCUGCAACUCUGCAACUCUUCUGAUGCUGGUUUCUUCAGUAGACAUCAGAUUUUUGGUGAGUUGACAUACCCUUCAGUCACCUACCCUCAAUGUGCCCAUUCUGUGUCCUGGAAUUUCUUCUCUCCCCUCCAAUAUUCAAAAUGCCUUACUUUUCUGGAAACCAGGGGAAUGGCAAUUCCCCAAGGUUGGUUCUUACAUUGAAAUGAGUGGUCUUCCUUCAUUCUCUGAGAUAAUUCCUCACUGAUAAGAGAAGCAGUGACAAAGGCAAUGGAAAAGGCCAGGCAGUGACUUGCAGCAAUUUGGCAUGGUGCUUAUAGGCCUGUUGGAUUUCCUCUCGUUUUUGGUUCAGCAUCUUACUCACAGCGAUAUCUGCUUCUCUGUUUUCUGACAGCUCCAGGAUUUCAUGACACAGAUUGUGCAUAACAGGGUGUUGAAUUGGGAAGGGGACAUUGUACAGUAAUCUAAAUGAGAGGAAGAGAGGGGAGGUGGAUGAAAGGGAAAACCAUGAUGCUGGAGACAUUCAGUUACCAUGUCCUUGCCCAUUAAGGCUGACACGUCCUGACGGUGAUCCUGCUGAGCUGGUGUGUUGGAUGAGAGUGAAAAGGGAGGGAGGGGAGUGAGAGAGAGAAGAAGAAUAGGGAGGGAGACAAAUCAGAGGAGUUGUCUCAGGUGUGACUUGCAAGAAAGGAGGAAUGUGUGCAGAGGACUUAUAAGAAAUUUUCCAUGUGAAGUGCUGAGUAAAUAUCUCAGGUUAGGCUUCAGAGCUCCUGGAAUUGGAUUUGGGGUCCUAUUGACCUUGACACGAUGCUGAGAUGGUUCUUGGGUUUCAAGCUUAGAAAAGAAGGGAUAAGAUAAAGAUGUGAAUAUUAAUUGACCAUUACUGUGUGCCAGCUCCAACCAGGCUAGCUUUGGGAACAGGGCAAUUUAAGGUUGUAGAAACCUAAGAAUGUGUGGCAGAGUGGGUGUUCUUGAAUCAGAUGGCCUGGGUUUGAGUCCUAGAUCUGCCUUUCAUUACCCACAUGGCCUUGAGGAGUUUAUUAGCCCCACUGGCCCAGUUUCUCUCCUAACAGCAGAAGAGUCAGAGAGCCCAUCACUAGGGCAGUUGUGUGGACUAAAUUAAGCAAGGCAUGCCAUGCUCUAUCCAUGGUGAUGAGAUGCCUCUUGUUACAACCAAGGCAGCUGCUGUGCCCCGCCACCUCAUGUAAUCCUCACCACAAGUCGUAUGAGAUGAUAUCCGUUUUUUUUUUUUUAAUAAACAAAGACUGGACAUAAGAAAGAACUGAGCCCACUUGUACCUCCAAUUUAUGCUCUGCCCUGAAUUUAUGCUCUGUCCCAUCACAGCUGCCUCUUUUCCAUGCAGGUAUUAUAAAUGGAUACCUCUGUUCCUUCCGGAGUCAAAUGUGUUGCAAGCUGGGAGGGUUGAAACAACAACAAGGACUUAUUCUCUUGCAAAUCUGGAGGCCAGAGGUUCCAAAUGGAGGUGUUGGCAGAGCUGGCCUCCCUCCACAGACUAGGGGAGUCUCCAGCUUCUGGAGGUUCCUAGUUGUUCUUGACUCCUCGUAGCAUCUCUCCAACUUUUGUUUCUAUCUUCUUAUGGCUUCCUCUCUGGUUCUGUGUGUCCUUCUCUGUCCAGUUUGAUUUAGGGGCCACCCUAAUGCAUUGGGAUCUCAUGUUAAUCCUUACUUUACUUCCCUUUCCAAAAACUCUGUAUUUCCAAAUUAAGUCACCUUCUGAGGUUCUGUGAGGAGAUGAAUUUUAGGACACCAAGCACUACAGAUGGUCUGCAGUAAUGACUUUUCAACUUCACAAUGGUGCAAUAACAAUACACACUUAGUAGAAAUUGUGUUUUUUUAAUUUGGAUCCUGCCUGGGUCAGUGAUACAUUCUAUAUGCUAUCUUGAUACUGCCCAGUCUGCCUGUGAUCACAGGGGUGAAUGGCAGACAUUCCACAGUGUGCUGUGCUGCUGAAUUAGGAUGUUCAGUAGGUUUAAUAUGAAUAGUGUGCUUCGACAUCAUAUUUUCCUUUUUUAAAAAUACUUAUUUAUUUGAAAUAAAGGGAGAGACACAGAGAGAAAGGUCUUCCAUCUGCUGGUUCACUCUCCCCAAUGGCUGCAAAGAUCAAGGCUGGGCCAGAACAAAGCCAAGACCCUAGAACUACAUCUGGAACUCUCACAUGAGUGGCAGGGGUCCGCAUACUUGGGUUACCCUCUGCUACUUUCCCAGACACAUUAGCAGGAAGCUAGAUCAGAAGUAGAGCAGCUAGGAAUCAAACUGGUGCCUAUAUGGGAUGCUGGCAUUGCAGGCAGCAGUGUAACCCACUGCAACACCUAACUUAUGAUAUUUUCAAAUUAAAAUGUAUUUAAUGGUAGCCCCACCAUAAGUUAAGGAGCACCUGUGCAGUGAUGAAUAGCCAAAGACUUCAAGCCCUCUGACAGUGAUGCUUCUCUUUCUAAGAACUUUCAUUGUUGCCAGGGACCACAGCCUAGGCUGGAAGCAGCAGGAAUCCCAGAAAACAAAUAGAAGAGGGGCCAGGGGGGUUGGUGAGGGAAUUGGGGUCUCAAAAUAGCUUGGAGCCACAAUUGUCUAUCCUGGUGUCUUUGGCUGCAUGACCACGCAUAAACCCUUUUUCUUCUUAGCAUCAUUUAUGUCUGCGAAGUGGGAUUUUUUUUUUUGACAGGCAGAGUUAGAAAGAGAGAGAGACAGAGAGAGAGAGAGUUUUAGACAGUGAGAGAGAGACAGAGAGAAAGGUCUUCCUUCUGUUGGUUCACUCCCCUUAUGGCCGCUACGGCCGGUGCUGUGCUGAUCCAAAGCCAGGAGCCGGGUGCUUCCUUCUGGUCUCCCAUGUGGGUGCAGGGACCCAAGCACUUGGGCCAUCCUCCACUGCCCUUCCGGGCCACAGCAGAGAGCUGAGCUGGAAGAGGAGCAACCAGGACUAGUACCCGGUAUCCCAACCGGGACUAGAACCCGGGGUGCCGGUGCUGCGGGCGGAGGAUUAGCCAAGUGAGCCACAGCGUCGGUCAACGAGAAGUGGGAUUUAAUUGUUACCUUGUGUUGGAAGCUUUAUAUGUAUUAUCUUAUUUAAUCUCACAGAGGAUGACUAUGAGACUUAGACAAGGAAUGUGGGGGCAGGUGUUUGGUGCAGUGGUUAAGAUGCUACUUGAAAUGCCCAUCUCCUUUGUCAGCAUGCCUGAUUCUAGUUCUGGCUACUCUGCUUCCAGUCUGACUUCCUGGUGAUGCUUACACUGGCAGGCAGCAGGUGAUAGAUCAAGUAUUUGGGUCCCUGACAUCCAUGUGGCAGACCUGGAUCCAGUUCUAGGUGUGUGGUUUUGGCGUGGCCCAGCCUGGCUAUUGUGGGCUUUGAGGGAGUGUACAGUAGAUGAACGAUUCAUACUCUCCCUUUCAAAUAAAAUGAAAGUAAAUCCAUAAAUGUUUUUUAAAGAAAGCAAAAAGUGACUUGCCCCAUGUCACACAACCAGAACAUUACAGAGAUAAAACUUAACACCCAGCUUGCUCACUCUCUCACUUGCUCACUCUGUUCUUAGCCACAUGCCUAUAUCACCUUAUGCAGCCUUCUGGUGAGAGUUCAACGCAUUUGUGAAUGCAAACAUAUGCAGUUAAUCACCUUACAAUACAAGGAUCUUAAUUUUUCACAUCACAGUUCAGAUGGGCAACCUGAUUUUCAUGGAACAGAGCUGAAAAUGCCAACACUGGGGCAAGGCAUGGGACCAAGAAAAUUCAGCACACCCCAUGAAUUGGCAUUUUAUCUGUACUAUUGAGGGAGGAUGGAGGUACAGCUGCCAGGCUCCAGGUACUGAUGUGAACAUUCAGCUUUGAGUUGGGGAAGAAAAUAGGGCUGGGAUCUCUGUUUGAAAUUCUUGCCCAAAGAUACUGUCCUUCCCCUAGAGAAAGGAACAAAGUCUAAAUCUCAGGAUACCUGUGACACUGUUAGAAUCUGUUAGUGAGUGCUCUGUGUCGGGCCCUCUUCUCGGCUCGCUGUAAGCCUCAUCUCAUCUCAUCUCAUCUUCACAAGCCAGAGCCAGUGGGAUUAGAAGAUGCUUUUCAGGUUCAGCAUGCCGUGUUCCAAGGAGAUGAGCAACUAUUUGAGAACUGAUUAGUGCUUAAGUGCUGUGAGAGUUCCUGAGUUUCAGUGUGCUGUUUUUCUUGGGUGAUGGACUUGUCAUUUUAAUGAUAAUAUUCUGAGAAUUAUGAUCUAAUAUAAAAGGAAUGGCCAAAAUGCAAGACAUGAGUCCCGGGUUCAAGUGUGAGACUUGUCAUUAAUCAGGCUCUGGGUACUUGGACAAGGCAUAGAACUCUGACCUUGAAUUUGCUCAUCUAUUAAACUAGAGGUUCUCAAACUGUAUUCUGUGGCAUUCAGAAGUGCAGAGGAGGCCACAGGACUCCCAGUAGUGAAUAGGGAGGGGAACUGAGUGAAUGGAAGCAGAGAAGCUCUGUUUUUGUUUGCUUUUCACACAGGACUUCAUAAAAAAUGAAUUUUUAAUUAUAUAAGAAGUAUACUAAUAUAUUCUCCUUGCAAGGAAUUCGAAUACUGUAGAAACAACUGAAGUUUCCUCGGACAUAAUCCUCCCUAAUCCCUGUGUAUGUUGGGGUCUCCAUUAAGAUUUCCAGUAGAAUGAAGGGAUGUUGUCCCAAAGAAGUUGGGAGAUCAUUGGUCUGGUUAGCCCCUAAGCAUCCCAAAUGUGCAAAAAGGAGAGAUUGUUUUUAAAGAUUUAUUUUAUUUUAUUUUAUUUAUUUGAAAGACAGAGUUAUAGAGAGAGGUAGAGACAGAGAGAAGCCUUCCAUAUGCUGGUUAAUUCCCCAGAUGGCUGCAUUGGCUGGAGCUGCGCUGAUCCAAAGGCAGGAUCCAGGAGCUUCUUGGAGUCUUCCACAUGGGUGCAGGGGCCCAAGGACUUGGGCCAUCUUUUACUGCUUUCCCAGGCUAUAGCAGAGAGCUGGAUCAGAAGAGGAGCAGCUGGGACUAGAACUGGCACCCAUAUGGGAUGCUGGCACUUCAGGCAAGGGCUUUAACCCACUGUGCCACAGUGCUGGCCCCAAAAAGAGAGAUUUUAGAGAAAGGGAAAGUCAUGGCUCAAGAAUGUUCUACAAAGUAGAACAGAAACCCGUACAUGGUUUGCUGAAAUUGGGCAUUGCUCUGGAUGCUGUGAUAGGCUGCCCAUGCUAUGUACUGGCCAUAUGUCCAGGAGAGGGCUGGUGGAUGGGAGCAUGUGGCUUUCUGAGUGAGGACUAGAAGUCAUAAGUAUAUGUCUAAUACCAGCCCUCACCUCCACAGAGAGAGAAGAGGUAGAAUUUAGGAUUAUCUCUUCUUUUCAACAUUUACCUUAGUAAAAGAGCAGCCACAGCUAACAUCUAUUGUGAUUCAGCAUCCUGUGCUUUGAGCAUGGUCUUGUUUAAUCCCCACGGGGCUCUAGGAAGUGGUGAUGCUGUUAGCACACUUGCUUUAAAAGUAAGGAAGCUGAGGCACAACGAUUAAGGAAUUGCGUAAGAGCACGGAGCCGCUGAGUGGGGAGCAGAGAUUUGAGUUUGGGUCUUCUAGCUUCAGGUGUACAUAUCUGUCAUUAUCAUCAUACCUCUGUGUGUGUGUGUGUGUGUGUGUGAUUGGGUUUGGAAAGAAGGAAGAUCCCUGAACGCCUUGGUUUGUCCAAAGCUUGUUACCCUAACUUCCCUCUCCUCCAGGUCUGUAUGGCAACUGGUGAAGUGUCCAGCUCUCUGAAAUUGCUUUGCUGGGAUUAGCUGCUUUUGUGGGCCUCCAGGGAAGGUGCCAGAUGGGCAGGGUGAAGGGCAGGGGGAGGUGGUAUGUAUUCAAAGAGGAGAUUGGAGAGCAGCUGCAGAGUCCUGCAGCCAGCACACACUGGCAUUCACUGGAUGGGGAAAUCAUGCAAGCCAGCAGCUUGAGCACCACUAGAACGGUCUAUACUAUGGCACCCAUGCCUGGGUGAAGGGAAAGGCAAACCUACUCGCAGAUGCAUUGCCUGCAGAGGACUUGCAGCAUGCGUGCCUGCUGGUGUAGCCAUCAGUGCUAGUGCUGAUUUUAGUUUUACAUUUGAUGAACUUGAGAGAGGGAAUUCAUUUCUUUGCUGUGAUAUGACCCUCUGGAGAAAGCCUUGUCCAAAUACAUUUUGUUGCAGUUGGUGACUUGGAAGAAGGACUGUACUGAAACAAAAUAGAAAGAGAUUAUUUUUUAAAAAAUUUUUAUUUAUUUAUUUGAUAGGUAGAGUUACAGAGAGAGAGAGAGAGAGAGAGAGAGGUCUUCCUUCCAUUGGUUCACUUCCCAAAUGGCCGCUGCAGCCAGCGCUACGCCAAUCCAAAGCCAGGAGCCAGGUGCUUCUUCCUGGUCUCCCAUGCGGGUGCAGGGGCCCAAGCAGUUGGGCCAUCCUCCACUGCCCUCCCAGGCCACAGCAGAGAGUUGGACUGGAAGAGGAGCAACCAGGACUAGAACCUGGCACCCAUAUGGGAUGCCGGCACCGCAGGCGGAGGAUUAACCAGGUGAGCCACUGCACCGGCCCCAAAGAGAUUAUUAAAGUGUGAUCUAUAGGUAAGGGGAAUUGGCAGUUUAAUGCCAAACUGUUACAUCCAGGAAGGUGAGAGAGAAAAAGGCUCCUCCCAAGAAUGGGAAACGUUUGUAAAAAGAAAUAUUUAUGAUACACGUAGCAUCAUCCCAGGCAGACUACAUUUUAAUAUAGUUACCAUGUAUCCCCCUCUCACCAGAAUGAAUAAUACCUGCAGGCAGCGAUUGAGUUCAUUGUUAUCUUGGUAUCUUCCAAAUGGGGAUAACUUGCAGCUCAAUUUUAUGAAAGGGAGGCUAUACUGAAAAGGCAUCUAAAUCUCAGCAGACAGGACCACAUCUUUCUUCCUCAUUGGUGCAGUUGGGACCCCUUGAUCCCAACCCAGUUCGGGCCUGGUAAUAACCAUUCCUCCAUCCCCCUGAGUCCUGCACAAAGCACAGGUCCAGAUUAGUCUUCUUUCAGGUGAUAAGCUGUUUAGCAAAAUGGACAACAGUGAACCCUUAACAGGGGAUUUGCUGUGGGUCAGGUACUUGUCCAAGUACUGAUGGAACUCAGGAAGUGAUUCACCAAAGUAUGGCACCUUGCCACACUGAGGAUUUUGAACUAAAGGAGAUGGGAGGGCUUCAGAAACAGGCUUCAAGCCAUGGCCUCUCCCACCUCCCCUGCCAUCCUGCCUCUCACCUCUUUCUCUUGCCAGUAAUUCACAGAAGCCAGAAUUGCUCUUCACCAAGGCAGGUCCCCAGAACUAGAACUCCUAUAGCCUAAAGGAAACCGUCAAACCUAGAAAAGUCACUCUCCGCCUUCUCUGUUGAAGACACUCAUUCCAGAGGGUGCUGCCCCACAGCAGGGAGGAAGGAAUGCUGCCUUAGAGAGGCCAAGAAGUAUCUGAACAGAAUGACCUUGCUGGACUUUCUCCUUCUGUCUUUCAACAUUAUGUCAUACCCUUUUGGUGCAGUCAUGUUUCUGUAUGGCUGUCCUUUCUUCUUGUAACUGCAGCAUAAAAACAUAGUUUUCCCUGGGUCUUUGAGUUUUCAUUUCUGAAGUCUCCCAUUUCAUGUAAGACUUUGAUUAGACAAACAUGACUUUCUGUUGCAUCUGUGUGAGUGAUGACCCUUAUGGUGGGUGAGGAAAGUUGUCAUACCUUCUGUCCCUCCAGAACUUUCUGAGAUUAUUUCAUUCAGUCUUCACAACCACCCUGUAAGGAUGACACUGUCGUUAUCCCAUUUUGAGGUUGAUGAAACAGAGUCUUAAAGAGGUGAACUCACUUGUUCAGGCUCAAAGAGCUAGUCAGUGGAAAGAGCUGCCAGUGACACUGUGCCAAUCAUGUUCAAUUGAUGAUCUCAUUUAACCCUUUAGAAGUGGCCUCCAGUGCUUAGCAUGGGAUACAUUUGGUGCCCUGGGACUAGAAUCCAUGUGAAGACAGGGUCUUGUUCAUCCCUGUAUCCAGGAAAUUGAGGAUGGUGCCAGGGACAGAGCUGUAAAUAAAAAUGCCCAGUGGAGGAACAACAGAGGUGUGUCUGCUGAGGGAUCUUCUGAUCCCUUUCCCCUUCAGAUGAGUCCUGUUGAGAUUUGGUCUGCCCUUGAAGGAGGGACCCUGGCCACAGUUUCCCCAUCUGUAAUGGGGGUGAGAAUCCCGUCUUCACAGGGUGGUUGGGAGUCUAAUGACACAGCUGCUUCGACUGCAUUGGCCUUUUAUUUCUUCCCUUUCUUCUCAAACAUGGGAGAUGAGGGGUAGACCCCUAAUGGUAGGACUGGCAGACUGCAGAGGGUGCUGCCUGUUGGUGUUCUCACUUGUUCCUGCACAGCAUGGAGGUCUGGGGGCAGGGGAUUGCUAGGUCUCCACCAGGCCUCACUGGAACAUGAAUGUGCCGUGGCUUCUGCAGGCCUGCAUCAGCAGUGAGGGACAGAACUGGGUUUUCUGAGGCUUAAACUUUGGCUCUCACUUGUGACCUGUUUUCUGACUUGGUGAGCAAGCCUCUUCUAAAUGAGGUUUUGAAUGUUCAGAAUAUCUUUAGGUUUUGAUUUAUUUAUUUUCCAUUUUAAAAACAAAUAUGAGAGUGGUUAUUAUUGAAUGAAUACAGAAUUUUGGUUUGGGAAGAUACAGUUGUUUUGGAGAGAGCAAGUGGUGAUGGUGGCACAACAAUGUGAACGUAUCUAAUGCCACUGAACUCACACAUAAAAUGGUUAAAAGAUAGUCAAUUUUAUGUCAUUUCACCAAACAAAGGAAAUAAUUAUGAGUCUUUCUCAUGUGCUAUGGUAUUUAAUUUUGUCUCUCCAAAGUUCAUCGGUUGGAAACGUGAUCUCUAAAUUCAUGUGUUCUGGUGCUUGGAGGAAGGCAUUUGGGAGAUAAUUAGGACUAAGUCAGGUUGUGAGAGAUGGGAACUAGUUGACUUUACAUGAAGAGGAAGAGACCUGAGCCAGCUUACUCUGUCUUGCCCCAUGCUGCCCUCCCCCAUGUGGUGAUACUGCAAGAAAGCUCACACCAGACGUUGGUGCCAUGCUCCUGGACUUCCUGUUCUCCAGACUGUUACCUAAAUAAAUCUGUCUUCUUCUUCUUCUCCUUCUCCUUCUCCUUCUCCUUCUUCCUUUUUUAAACAGGCAGAGUUAGACAGUGAGAGAGAGAGACAGAGAGAAAAGUCUUCCUUCUGUUGGUUUACUCCCCAAAUGGCCACUAUGGCCGGUGCUGCUCCGAUCUGAAGCCAGGAGCCAGGUGCCUCCUCCUGGUCUCCCAUGCGGGUGCAGGGGCCCAAGCACUUGGGCCAUCCUCCACUGCCUUCCUGGGCCACAGCAGAGAGCUGGACUGGAAGAGGAGCAACCGGGACAGAAUUUGGCACCCCAACCGGGACUAGAACCUGGGGUGCCGGCACCGCAGGCAGAGGAUUAGCCAAGUGAGCCACAGUGCCGGCCUACCUAUGUUCUUUAUACCUGGGCCAGUCUUGUGCAUUUUGUUAUAGCAAUAAGAAACAGACUAAGACAUUACAUAAUGAGGCAUCUUGGGUAGGAAGUUAGAGUUUGGGUGCUCCACAAUGCCACUAUAGGGGCCCGAACCUUCUUAGUAGAAGAUUCUUGCAUUAUGGCUUUUACCCUGGGUGCCAGGUAUCUCUGAAGGUUCUCAUGUUCUGUCUGCUCAAGAGCGGAAAAAGAGGGCAAGAAUGAUACCAGCCAUGGCUCUAUUUUUAUUAUUUUUUUAAAUCGGGGAAGCUGAAAUUUCUUGGUAGUCCCCCAAGUGGAAUUUUCUCACAUUUUAUUGGCUAGCACCAGGUCUCCUGGCUUUGCCAGACAGCAAGGGUAGAUGGAGAAGUGACUGCUUGGCUUUCCAACCUUCAGAGCUGAAAGGAACAUCAAGGAAGAAGAAACCUGGGAGUGCAUGUUUAUCAAAGAACUUUCAAGUUGUAUAGUUGUGUCUACUCCUUGCUCAAGAUCAUAUGGUCCCCAGCCGGCGCCGCGGCUCACUAGGCUAAUCCUCCGCCUAGCGGCGCCGGCACACCGGGUUCUAGUCCCGGUCGGGGCACCGGAUUCUGUCCCGGUUGCCCCUCUUCCAGGCCAGCUCUCUGCUGUGGCCAGGGAGUGCAGUGGAGGAUGGCCCAGGUGCUUGGGCCCUGCACCCAUGGGAGGCCAGGAAAAGCACCUGGCUCCUGGCUCCUGGCUCCUGCCAUCGGAUCAGUGCGGUGCGCCGGCCGCAGCGCGCCGGCCGCGGCGGCCAUUGGAGGGUGAACCAAUGGCAAAGGAAGACCUUUCUCUCUCUCUCUCUCUCUCUCUCUCACUGUCCACUCUGCCUGUCAAAAAAAAAAAAAAAAAAUCAUAUGGUCCCAGAAAGGUUUGGUCAUGCCUGGGGCCAGGGCCUGUGAUUUCCAGGUCUGAGAUUUUUUUUCCUGGGACACUUGAUGCAUUUCAUGGUGGGUAGAUUUACAGUACAAAGACUGUUCUGGGGGAAUGCCUUUAAAAAAUGGAAACUCCCCUUUAUAUGUACUGGAAUCAGUCAAAUGCUAAAGACCAUGGCAGAAAAACACUGGGCAUAGUGGAAGCCAGAACAUCAGAGCUCUGCCUGAGGCUGGCCGGAAGCUUUGGGAAAGGUCCAGGUCUCUGCGUUUAUGAAAUGUGAUUUUUCUUGAUUAGCAUUGUGCAUUAAGUGCUUUGGUAUCUCUAGGUAAAAGAUCUUGUAGGAGGACAAAUAGUUAUUAACUAACCAUGUGCUGUCAGGUGUGGGUUUCUAAUGCAAGAUGAUACAUUUCAAACUUAGAGUAGGAUGACAGAAACCUCCCUCCAUUCUUCCAGGUGAGGAGCAGAGCAGAAUAAGGGCAACAAAAGGACUCUUGAAAUCAGGACCUUUUAUAGUUACCCUGCCAUGGCAGGGAAGCUCAGAUGUGUUCAGUUGGAUUUUCAGGAUGGCAGGGAAACAGACUCCUUUCUCUGGAUCCCACCACUUGUUCUUCCACAGAGGGCAUCCAAGGGGAAUAUGCUAGCCUUGCCCAU